CUGACUGCAACUACGGGAAGAUCUCUGGUGGUGUUUUUCUUGUGACCCUUGAUCUUCAGUAAUAGGAAGUUUAUUUUGCUUGCUUUUGAAAUGAAUAUUUCUACAGUCUUUUUCAGUUCAGUCUUUUCUCCAGGAAGCUUUGGAGUGGGACUAUAAGCAUCCACUGAAAGGAUUCUCUGCUCUACUCAACAUACUGUGACACUGACAGAAAGCUUCUGGUUGAGUGAAACCUCUAUAAAUCUACCCUUGGGUCCUGUUUCUUCCUUGAUCACAGCACAUCCCAAGUCAUCUCUGUGACAGAGCUUCCUUACUGGGGAAAUUUCAAGGUGCAAAUUGUAUGUAAAUAAUUACACCUUUUUAGCAGUCCAUCGGUUUUCUGAAAGAAGAGAUUGGUGAAGCAUUUACCAUGAAAGUAGCUUUUAGUUGAAAUUCCAUCUUCAUGGAAUGAAGUCAUGGGUGAAACUCAACAGGGUAAAAUAAUCUUUCCAGUAACAUAUGGGUACAACCUUCAGGCUGUCUGGCUUUAACCAUGAAGAUGAGGAUAUGCAGAAAGCAGAAAAAGCAAUAGCAAAAAACCAGAAUUGACUCAAAUAAGCACUUGUUUUCUGCUCUACGAAGGAUGAAUACUGUGCCUCUAUUGGAUUCCAUCUGGAUGUCAGGGCACUCCUUAAAAUCAAUAUUUUUAUACCAAAGGAUCAACCACAAACUAAACCCAGGGAAUAUUAAUUAGCAAAUGCUCCUUUGAAGGUAAAUUAAGAAUGUAGGGUGGAAUUUCUACUCAAGAUCUUUCUUUUGAUAAAUUCUGGUCCUUCAUUAUUUUUUGUUGAUGGUUUUCUGCUUCAGACCUAGAUUUAAGCGGAAUGUAAUUAAAUGUGAGUGGAUGUCUUCUGUCCAUUCUUGAGAAAGGCAAAUGAGACCCCUAAGAAUUGGCAACAUAUGCUUAGAGUACUAUUCUAAACAUUUAACAAGGCUUUUAUUAGGACCAGACAGGUUUUGUUAACAGUGUUUUUUCUUGACAAGUUUUUAUGGUUUUAAGAAAUAGUUCUUUUGUUUUUUGUUUGUUUGUUUUUAUUCUGAAGAAUACUAGUCCAGAAUGAUGCAGUAUUUCUCAGUAAUUUCAGAAUGUCUCCAAUAUUUGUAAUGCACUCUUUCUGGCAGAAUUAAUGCUUGUGUGAAUUUCAUGUUCUUAUUUAUUUAACUACUAUACAGUUUUGAAUAAUUAUUUCAUAAUA